rnacentral:rRNA from 1 species
AGAGUUUGAUCCUGGCUCAGGAUAAACGCUGGCGGCGCACAUAAGACAUGCAAGUCGAACGAACUUAACCAUUAGUUUACUAUUGGAGCGGUUAGUGGCGGACUGGUGAGUAACACGUAAGCAACCUGCCUAUCAGAGGGGAACAACAGUUAGAAAUGACUGCUAAUACCGCAUACACCAUUAAAAGGACAUCCUUAUAAUGGGAAAGAAGCAAUUCGCUGAUAGAUGGGCUUGCGUCUGAUUAGAUAGUUGGUGGGGUAAAGGCCUACCAAGUCGACGAUCAGUAGCCGGACUGAGAGGUUGAACGGCCACAUUGGGACUGAGGUACGGCCCAGACUCCUACGGGAGGCAGCAGUCGGGAAUAUUGCGCAAUGGAGGAAACUCUGACGCAGUGACGCCGCGUGCAGGAAGAAGGUUUUCGGAUUGUAAACUGCUUUAGACAGGGAAGAAACAAGACAGUACCUGUAGAAUAAGCUCCGGCUAACUACGUGCCAGCAGCCGCGGUAAUACGUAGGGAGCAAGCGUUAUCCGGAUUUAUUGGGUGUAAAGGGUGCGUAGACGGGAAGACAAGUUAGUUGUGAAAUCCCUCGGCUCAACUGAGGAACUGCAACUAAAACUAUCUUUCUUGAGUGCUGGAGAGGAAAGUGGAAUUCCUAGUGUAGCGGUGAAAUGCGUAGAUAUUAGGAGGAACACCAGUGGCGAAGGCGACUUUCUGGACAGUAACUGACGUUGAGGCACGAAAGUGUGGGGAGCAAACAGGAUUAGAUACCCUGGUAGUCACACCGUAAACGAUGGAUACUAGGUGUAGGGGAUGAAUAAUCUUCUGUGCCGUCGCAAACGCAGUAAGUAUCCCACCUGGGGAGUACGGCCGCAAGGUUGAAACUCAAAGGAAUUGGCGGGGGCCCGCACAAGCAGUGGAGUAUGUGGUUUAAUUCGACGCAACGCGAAGAACCUUACCAGGGCUUGACAUAUAGAGGAAUACAUAAGAGAUUAUAUAGCUCUUCGGAGUCUCUAUACAGGUGGUGCAUGGUUGUCGUCAGCUCGUGUCGUGAGAUGUUGGGUUAAGUCCCGCAACGAGCGCAACCCCUGUUCUUAGUUGCCAGCACGUAGAGGUGGGAACUCUAAGAAGACUGCCGGUGAUAAAUCGGAGGAAGGUGGGGACGACGUCAAAUCAUCAUGCCCUUUAUGUCCUGGGCUACACACGUACUACAAUGGCUAUAACAAAGGGAAGCGAAGCCGCGAGGUGGAGCAAAACUCAAAAAAGUAGUCUCAGUUCGGAUUGAAGGCUGAAAUUCGCCUUCAUGAAGCCGGAAUUGCUAGUAAUGGCAGGUCAGCAUACUGCCGUGAAUACGUUCCCGGGCCUUGUACACACCGCCCGUCACACCAUGAGAGUUGGGAAUACCCGAAGCCUGUGAGCUAACUGUAGAGGGGCAGCAGUCGAAGGUAG